CGGCGUGCUUAUACAUGCAAGUCGAACGAAGACAGUAGCAAUAUUGUCUGAGUGGCGAACGGGUGAGUAACGCGUUGGUGACCUGCCUCGAAGAGAGGGAUAACAGUCCGAAAGGAUUGCUAAUACCCCAUGUGGUCGUUUGGAUUAGAUGCCUUAUGACUAAACGGAUUUAUUCGCUUCAAGAGGGGCCUGCGUCCCAUCAGCUAGUUGGUAAGGUAAUGGCCUACCAAGGCGAUGACGGGUAGGGGACCUGAGAGGGUGGCCCCCCACAAUGGAACUGAAACACGGUCCAUACACCUACGGGUGGCAGCAGUAGGGAAUAUUGGUUAAUCUGGGAAACCGGGAACCAGCAACGCCGCGUGCACGAUGAAGGCCUUCGGGUUGUAAAGUGCUUUUUGAAAGGAUGAGGAAGGACAGUACUUUCAGAAUAAGCUUCGGCUAACUACGUGCCAGCAGCCGCGGUAAAACGUAGGAAGCGAGCGUUAUCCGGAUUUACUGGGCGUAAAGCGUGUGUAGGCGGUUUGACAAGUUGGA
rnacentral:rRNA from 1 species